rnacentral:rRNA from 1 species
GUAGGUGGCGAGCGUUAUCCGGAAUGAUUGGGCGUAAAGGGUGCGUAGGUGGCAGAUCAAGUCUGGAGUAAAAGGUAUGGGCUCAACCCGUACUGGCUCUGGAAACUGAUCAGCUAGAGAACAGAAGAGGACGGCGGAACUCCAUGUGUAGCGGUAAAAUGCGUAGAUAUAUGGAAGAACACCGGUGGCGAAGGCGGCCGUCUGGUCUGAUUCUGACACUGAAGCACGAAAGCGUGGGGAGCAAGUAGGAUUAGAUACCCUAGUAGUCCACGCCGUAAACGAUGAGAACUAGGUGUUGGGGGAAUAACUCAGUGCCGCAGUUAACGCAGUAAGUUCUCCGCCUGGGGAGU